rnacentral:rRNA from 1 species
GUCCACGCCGUAAACGAUGUGUGCUAGUUGUCGGGAUCUUAAGGUCUCGGUGACGCAGGGAAACCAUUAAGCACACCGCCUGGGGAGUACGGCCGCAAGGUUAAAACUCAAAGGAAUUGACGGGGACCCGCACAAGCGGUGGAGCAUGUUGUUUAAUUCGAAGCAACGCGAAGAACCUUACCCACACUUGACAUCCUUCUUGGGACUUUCAGAGAUGAUUGUCUUCGGUUCGGCCGGGGAAGU